AGUAAUGUAUGGGGAUCUGCCCGAUAGAGGGGGAUAACUACUGGAAACGGUGGCUAAUACCGCAUAAUGUCUACGGACCAAAGCAGGGGCUCUUCGGACCUUGCACUAUCGGAUGAACCCCUAUGGGAUUAGCUAGUAGGUGGGGUAAAGGCUCACCUAGGCGACGAUCUCUAGCUGGUCUGAGAGGAUGAUCAGCCACACUGGGACUGAGACACGGCCCAG
rnacentral:rRNA from 1 species